rnacentral:snoRNA from 2 species
UGGCAAUGAUGAUAUAACAAAGGCUUGUUUCUCAAAACAUUCGCAGAUGCCGCCUAAGAGCUUUCGCCCUGCCAGGCUUGAGAGCUAAUGCUGCUAAUCCUUCCUUGGAUGUCUGAGCCA